rnacentral:rRNA from 1 species
AUUGAACGCUGGCGGCAUGCCUUACACAUGCAAGUCGAACGGUAACGCGGGGGCAACCCUGGCGACGAGUGGCGAACGGGUGAGUAAUACAUCGGAACAUAUCCAGUAGCGGGGGAUAACCUAUCGAAAGAUUGGCUAAUACCGCAUACGAUCUACGGAUGAAAGCGGGGGACCGCAAGGCCUCGCACUAUUGGAGUGGCCGAUGUCAGAUUAGCUAGUUGGUGGGGUAAAAGCCUACCAAGGCGACGAUCUGUAGCUGGUCUGAGAGGACGAUCAGCCACACUGGAACUGAGACACGGUCCAGACUCCUACGGGAGGCAGCAGUGGGGAAUUUUGGACAAUGGGCGCAAGCCUGAUCCAGCCAUGCCGCGUGAGUGAAGAAGGCCUUCGGGUUGUAAAGCUCUUUCGGUGAAGACGAAACGGUUAGCGCUAAUAACGCUGACUAAUGACGGUACUCACAGAAGAAGCACCGGCUAACUACGUGCCAGCAGCCGCGGUAA